ACUCCUACGGGAGGCAGCAGUAGGGAAUUUUCGGCAAUGGGGGAAACCCUGACCGAGCAACGCCGCGUGAAGGAAGAAGGUUUUCGGAUUGUAAACUUCUGUUAUAAAGGAAGAACGGCGGCUACUCGAAAUGGAGCCGAGGACGGACUU
rnacentral:rRNA from 1 species